rnacentral:rRNA from 1 species
AUUGAACGCUGGCGGAAUGCUUUACACAUGCAAGUCGAACGGCAGCACGGACUUCGGUCUGGUGGCGAGUGGCGAACGGGUGAGUAAUGUAUCGGAACGUGCCCAGUUGUGGGGGAUAACUGCUCGAAAGAGCAGCUAAUACCGCAUACGACCUGAGGGUGAAAGCGGGGGAUCGCAAGACCUCGCGCAGUUGGAGCGGCCGAUAUCAGAUUAGGUAGUUGGUGGGGUAAAGGCUCACCAAGCCAACGAUCUGUAGCUGGUCUGAGAGGACGACCAGCCACACUGGGACUGAGACACGGCCCAGACUCCUACGGGAGGCAGCAGUGGGGAAUUUUGGACAAUGGGCGCAAGCCUGAUCCAGCCAUGCCGCGUGCGGGAAGAAGGCCUUCGGGUUGUAAACCGCUUUUGUCAGGGAAGAAAAGACUCCUGUUAAUACCGGGGGUUCAUGACGGUACCUGAAGAAUAAGCACCGGCUAACUACGUGCCAGCCGCCGCCGUAA